GAGAUGACCUCCUCUGGCUGUGAUUUGGCAUUUCCUCCGUAUCUAACUUGCCUGGGAGACUCCUGCCAAGCCAGAGGAGCAGGGCACAAAUGGAGGCAGAUCCUGCUGGAGAUGGGCAUGGGGAGGGGGACUGACAGAGCACCCUUGGCUGCUGUUAGACAGUUGUUCAGUCAUCACACCUGUUAACCCAAGUUGGUCAGGUCUGUCCAGGUGCUGUGACUCACCUUGCCGGCUCAGAAGAGACACUGAAUGAUACGGUGGGGAGCACAGGCCUAGGGGAAUCCUGCAGCUGAGUAUCUGGCUUUUGCUCUGCCAAUGGUCCAGUAGAUUAGGGGGUCUGUGGCCUGUUUCCUCAUGCUCUGAGAUUCUGUGCCCAGCCCAGGUCUCUCUGUUCUGGAAACAAAGGCCCAGAUCCCCAUAUUUCCUUCUUGCUGUUUUGUUUUGGUUUUUGAAGAGUCUCGUUCUCUCUCCUGGAGUGCAAUGGUGUGAUUUUGGCUCCCUGCAGCCUCUGCCUUCCAGGUUCAAGUGAUGCUCAUGCCUCAGCCUCCCCAGUAGCUCAGAUUACAGACAUGCAUCAUCAUGCCAGGCUAAUUUUUUUGUAUUUUUAGUGGAGACAGGGUUUCACCAUGUUGCCCAGGCUGGUCUCAAACUCCUGGCUUCAAGUGAUUCACCUGCUUCAGCCUCCUAAAGUGCUGGGAUUACAUGCAUGAGCCACUGUGCCCAGCCUCUUGCUGUUUUUAUACUUUCUCCAUAGCCAUAACUGUUUUUGAUGGAAGUUUUUGUUUUUUUGAAUUUCUUAUUUUUAUUACCCCUGCAUCAUCUGCUACCCUGAAGGAUCUGGAGUCCUCGAGCCGCUGUGAAGCAGUCCUCAAGCGGCAGUUAUGGCAGUCCAUAAAGGCUCGGGCACAGCUGGAAGCACACGUGACACAGAUGUUGGAACAAGUCCAGCUAGAGACAGAUGAAUAUACUCAACAUCUAAAAGGAGAGAGGGCCCGGUGGCAGCAGAGGGUAUGGAAAAUGUCAGAGGAGGUUUGCACAUGGAAGGAGGAGAAGAAGCAUGACAGGCAUCGGGUACAGGAGCUGGAGAGGAGCUUGGCCGAACUCAAAAACUAGAUGGCUGAACCCCUGCCCCUGGAGCCCCCAGCAGGGCCCUCUGAGGUGGAACAGCAGCUACAAGCUGAGGCCGAGCACCCGAGGAAGGAGCAGGAGAGUCUGGCAGGACAGCUCCAAGCUCAGGUGCAAAACAAUCAAGGCUUGAGUCACCUGAACUGGGAGCAGGAGGAGAGGCUGCUGGAACGGGAGACGCUGCGGGAGCAGGAGAGGCUGCAGGAGCUGGAGGAGAAGCUGCAGGAGUAGGAGAGGCUGGGAGAGCGGGAGGAGAGUCUGCGGGAGCGGGAGGAGAGUCUGCGGGAGCGGGAGGAGAGGCUACGGGAGUGGGAGGAGAGGCUGCGGAGCAGGAGGACAGGCUGCUCGAGCUGGGGCGGAAAGCCAAGCUCUGGGAGGAGCAGGCAGAGACGUGCAUGCAGGCCCUGCGGAACCACACCACCAUCAACCACGUGCUCUCUCAGAACCAUGAGCUCGACUAGCAGCUGGCUGGGCCACAGAGCGGCUUAGAGGAGCUGAACAACGAGAAUAAGAGUGCACUACAGUUGGAGCAGCAAGUAAAGGAGCUGCAGGAGAAGCUGGGCAAGCUGAAGGAGACUGUAACCUCUGCCCAUCCAAGAAGGGCUGGGAGGAGCACCUGGAAGGUACCAGCCAGCAGAACCAGCAGCUACAGGCCCAGUUGAGCCUCAUGGCACUCCCUAGGCAAGGAGAUGGAGGAGAACAUCUGGACAACGUGGAAGAGGAGGCUCAGCUUGGCCCAUGCUGAGCAUCCCGGAGGACCUGGAGAGCAGGGAGGUCAUGGUGGCGUUUUUCAACUCCGCUGGAGCCAGUGCCCAGGAGGAGCAGGUAUGGCUUAUGUGGGCAGCUGAGGGAGCAAAGGGUGUGGUGCCAGCGCCUGACUCACCCGGGUGGCCUUGGCCCAGAAGGAGCCAGAGGUAGUGGAACCAGCCCCAGGGACUGGGGAUGAGUCUGUGUGUGGGUAGACUCAUCAGGCCCUGCAGGGAUCCAUGGAGAAGUUGCAGAGUGGCUUUAUGGACCUCCUGAAGGAGAAGGUGGACCUGAAGGAGUGGGUGGAGAAACUAGAGCUUCGAUCCAUCCACCUCUCAGGACAGGCAGACACCAUCAGAAAGUAAAUCACAACAUACGAGGGCCAGAGGGCAGCGCCAAAGACGCGGCACCAGGAGGAGGAGGACAUCAUCAGGCUGGCCCAGGACAAAGAGGAGAUGAAGAUGGGGCAUUGCAGCACCUCUGUGGGGGUGGGGGUGGGGUGGGUGUGAGCGUGGGCAGGGGCACUGGCACCAGCGUGGCAGCUGAGCACCCCUCCCUUCAGGUGAAACUGCUGGAGCUGCAGGAGCUGGUGUUGCGGCUUGCAGGCGAUCACAACGAGGGGCAUGGCAAAUUCCUGGCCGCUGCCCAGAACCCUGCUGAUGAUCCUGCUCCAGGGGCCCCAGCCCCUCAGGAGCUUGGGGCUGCUGACAAGCAGGGUGAUUUUUGUGAGGUGAGCCGACAGCCUGGAGCCUGCACCAGGAGAGGCCAGGGAGGGUUGUCCCCAUGACAACCCCACUGCACAGCAGCUCAUGCAGCUUCUUCCUGUGAUGCGGGACCCCCAGGAGUACCCAGGCUUGGGCAGCAGUCCCUGCAUGCCAUUCUUUUACCAGGCUGCCAAGAACAGGGAGCUAAACAUCACCAUCAUCUAAGAGCUGGUCAAGAAAUUAAAAAAGAAGAAAAAAAAGUUAUGGGGUUAAUCUCCUACACAAUUCAUUUACUUCAUUUGAAUGUU
rnacentral:lncRNA from 1 species